GGCUGCAGUAGCUCAAUUGGUAGAACAUCUGAUUCAUAAUCCAAGAGUCCUGAGUUCAAAAACCACCCAGGUCAGCCU